CGGGUGAGUAACACGUAGGUAAUCUACCUUUGGGUGGGGGAAUAACUCAGGGAAACUUGAGCUAAUACCGCAUAAUGCAGCGGCACCGCAAGGUGACAGUUGUUAAAGGAGCAAUCCGCCUAAAGAGGAGCCUGCGGCAGAUUAGGUAGUUGGUAAGGUAAUGGCUUACCAAGCCUUCGAUCUGUAGCCGACCUGAGAGGGUGGUCGGUCACACUGACACUGAAUAACGGGUCAG
rnacentral:rRNA from 1 species